UCAGGAUGAACGCUGGCGGCGUGCCUAAUACAUGCAAGUCGAGCGAACAGAUAAGGAGCUUGCUCCUUUGACGUUAGCGGCGGACGGGUGAGUAACACGUGGAUAACCUACCUAUAAGACUGGGAUAACUUCGGGAAACCGGAGCUAAUACCGGAUAACAUUUUGAACCGCAUGGUUCAAUAGUGAAAGACGGCCUUGCUGUCACUUAUAGAUGGAUCCGCGCCGUAUUAGCUAGUUGGUAAGGUAACGGCUUACCAAGGCAACGAUACGUAGCCGACCUGAGAGGGUGAUCGGCCACACUGGAACUGAGACACGGUCCAGACUCCUACGGGAGGCAGCAGUAGGGAAUCUUCCGCAAUGGGCGAAAGCCUGACGGAGCAACGCCGCGUGAGUGAUGAAGGUCUUCGGAUCGUAAAACUCUGUUAUCAGGGAAGAACAAACGUGUAAGUAACUGUGCACUUCUUGACGGUACCUGAUCAGAAAGCCACGGCUAACUACGUGCCAGCAGCCGCGGUAAUACGUAGGUGGCAAGCGUUAUCCGGAAUUAUUGGGCGUAAAGCGCGCGUAGGCGGUUUUUUAAGUCUGAUGUGAAAGCCCACGGCUCAACCGUGGAGGGUCAUUGGAAACUGGAAAACUUGAGUGCAGAAGAGGAAAGUGGAAUUCCAUGUGUAGCGGUGAAAUGCGCAGAGAUAUGGAGGAACACCAGUGGCGAAGGCGACUUUCUGGUCUGUAACUGACGCUG
rnacentral:rRNA from 1 species